rnacentral:lncRNA from 10 species
AAAAAUGUGUGAUUCACAAGAUCUUUCCUUUUAAUUCAAAGCCAAAUAAGUAGUUCAGUCUUUCACUGCACAAACAGGAAGGGCGUUUGAUGGAAUUACAGCAGGUAAACACAAUCUAUGUUAGUGAUGGCACUGGGAACCUUUGACUACAAAAGGUCUCAUGCAUCCCCAAAAAGAGCACUGAGGGUACUCAAGUCACUGUGAGUGCUGGAUCACUGAGCUGUUGGUCUAUUCUGGUCUGGAGAACAAUGCCAAACCCUUGGGGGAAAGGACUUUGAAGAUGUGAGCUAUCCUAGCAAGUACUGCAUCAUCUCACUAUCUUAAAGGAAGAUCGUGUCUCCUUCACUCCAUCACUGGGCCUCAAGACAACAUCUUGUCCUCUUGUCCAGGUUGAUAUAUACUAUGAAUACUCCAUUCUUUUAAAGAAGAGCUGGUACAGGUCCUAAAGCAGUUUGAGCAGUACAGCAAUUCUACAGGCAUGGGAUGAGAAAGGCUGAAUGUGGAAAGUCUGGACAGGUACAUGUUGAAGAACGUGAAUAUUUGGAGGACCAAGUUUAAACAAGUUGGAAGGAAGCACCUUCUCUAUGUUGCAAGAAAACAGAGGCAAGUGUUCAAACUGUCACGGAGAAUAACAUGUGGCCAAAAUUACAUGUGGUUCUAUCUCUCAUAACAAGUCUUAGAAUGAUGCAUCAUACCAGCUGUCUGGGAACAAAUGUAUUUUGUUGGCAUGGGAACAAAAGAAUUAGUCUGAAUUUUGUAAUUAAACUGUGGUUAUUAAAAUUACUCGAAACAAACCAGAAUAAUAACCAUUAAACAUGAAAAGUCAAUAAAAGUCUUUGAAUUACAUUUCUGUUGCAAUUCCUGUUUUCAUAACGUGCUUUGGGAUGAAACAUAGCUUUGAGUUGUUAGUACUUUUAAAUAGACUUCACUGCAGAUGAGUUAGCCAACAGCAGCUAAGACUGUGAAGUUUUAAAAUCCUUUAUGGAAAAUGAAAAUUAAAGGCUUGGAAAUCUGUAGAAGACCAAUUCUUUUUAACAAUUGUCACAAUUAUUGCACAAUUGAUUUUCUGUCUCUAUAGCAUCUUCUUCUUUAAGGCUGCCUGUGACUCCAUAGAUUUGUUGGUUACCCUUGAUGAUGACUGAGGUGGUUUAAAGAUAAGCAGUGCUAUCCACUGAAAGCUUUAAGUUUAUUGAUUUUGGUUCUCCUAAUAACCAUGCUACUCCUGGAUAGAUCACUGGGCAUUGUGGGAGGCAAAUCAACUCUUUGGGAAUACAAAUGAUACUAGUUGUAACGGUAUAACAGGCGGAAGGAGCUAAGGAGCUUCCAGAGUCGUCUAAUAUUACCCGAAAGCUACUUAUACUAAAGGGACCAAGUUUUAUUCUUUAAAAACCCAGAGACCUAGGAAGGAAUCAGCAGAAUGCUAAGUUCAUCUAUAGAGAAAAAUCAAGGACUUUUUUGGUGUCUUUUCUGCUUUGGCCUUCUUAUAGGAGAGAUUUGAAAGAAAAAUCUGUCUUGUUUUAGAGGAGAGCAGAAAGGUGGGUGCCACGGGCAGGGCACUGGCAUUUUGCUUUCUCUUCAUCUUUCCCUGACCUGUGAAUGCUUUUUGGUGCUAUAAUGUCUGAGGAAUAGCUGAGGGCCCAGAGAAGCCAUGAAUGAUCCUACCAGAUGAAAUGACCACCCCGGAUGAAAAUGAUAAAAGAAUAUCUUUAAUAUUUGUUUUGAUAAAAGUCUAGACAAGAAUACACUGAGAAAAAGUCACUUAGAAUAUGUUUAGGAGGCCCAAUACCAAGGGCCUGUGAUCAGUACCCAAGUUCAGCAACUUUUGGAACUCUUCGUCCUCAAAGUCCCUGUGGCCUGUGAUGCUGCUAAUUCUUCCUCCCUCCUUCUCUCCAUCUGUCACCCUCCCU